rnacentral:misc_RNA from 1 species
UACGGAGGGUGCGAGCGUUAAUCGGAUUUACUGGGCGUAAAGCGUGCGUAGGCGGCCUUGUAAGUCGGAUGUGAAAUCCCCGAGCUUAACUUGGGAAUUGCAUUCGAUACUGGGAAGCUAGAGUAUGGGAGAGGAUGGUAGAAUUCCAGGUGUAGCGGUGAAAUGCGUAGAGAUGUGGAGGAAUACCGAUGGCGAAGGCAGCCAUCUGGGCUAAUACUGACGCUGAUGCACGAAAGCGUGGGGAGCAAACUCG